GAGGAGUCUUGCUCUAGCCCUGGAGUGGGAAGGGCUAGCUGCCUGGAAGCAAGGUGUUAUGUUCCUGGGUAAUACCCACCAGACAGAUUUACAUCAGGAUUAGACAGCCAUGAGUUGAUGGGCCAUUGAAGACCCUAAACACAUCCAAUGAGCUUUUCCUGGAGAUGUUUCACAAAGCACUCAGGCCCAGUGACUCAUCAUGGCAUGUAAGGACACAUGAAGAGGAUAUGGGACCUAAGACUCCUUCCAUGCACCUGGGCUGAAGGUAUAAGGGGAGACUGUGACAUCACUACUUGGUCUUUAUCAUCUGCUUCACAUCUGUGGACUGCAUUUCUAAUGAAGCUUUGAACAAAGGGACUGAAUGACCCCCACAACCAGUCUGAGCAAUCCAGAGACACACUUUUACAAGCUAGCAGAUUUGCAUCACGGUUAUGAUCCUUACCUGCAAUCUCUGAAAAUCAACUGUAAUGUAUAUGGUCUUUUAACCAUUCAAUAACUUCUUUUCUUUUUAUAUUAAAUCUUUAGUUACUAAAG